ACUUGAUGAUGUGGGCAUGUACGCAGAAGGUCCUUAAAGCGCUCACAAGUCUUGAAAAAUUGCUCACCAUUUAUCUGUGAGAAGCUAGUGAUGGCUCCCCUAAGCU